UGGACCCGCAAUACGUCGACCCGGGGGAUUCAACCAGGCCGUGCGUUCGGGACGCGUGGGGGUUUUGCGGAGCUGUAAAGCCCGUGCCUUCGCGCAGGUCUCCGGGCGGACUGGUGCACUUUCCUCGGGUUGAUUGCCACGACCGGCUCUCCGUGCGGCCACAAGCCUUUGCUGGGAAGGUGACCGUCGGCCUCCGCGCCGGCGGUGUUAUAGACCAGCUUGUUCGUUGAGCUCGUCGGAGGGCCGAGGAAGUGUUGCCGUUUCUCGUCCACCCUCCGGCCAUCCUUGCUCGUCACGACUGGGGUGAACUGCUUCGUCAGUGCUCUCCCGACCGCGAGCGUAGGAAGGGCUGGUACGGUGCGAGAAAGCUUCGGGCCAGUGGCGAAUCGGUCGGUCCUCCACCC
rnacentral:rRNA from 1 species